rnacentral:misc_RNA from 1 species
GUGAAGAACGUAGUGAAAUGCGAUAAGUAGUGUGAAUUGCAGAAUUCAGUGAAUCAUCGAAUCUUUGAACGCACAUUGCGCCUCCUGGUAUUCCGGGAGGCAUGCCUGUUCGAGCGUCAUUAAAAUCACUCAAGCUUAGGUUUACCUAUUGCUUGGUCUUGGAGAUGGAAGCCAAUUUAUUGGAAUCCUCUUCGAAAUUCAAUGGCGAAGACCCUUGCUCUCCCAAGUGUAGUAAUAACUUAUGUCACUGAAGGAAGCGAGAAAUCUUCUGCCGUAACCCCCAUAUUUUCUAUGAUUGACCUCGGAUCAGGUAGGGAUACCCGCUGAACUUAAGCAUAUCAAUAAGCGGAGGA